rnacentral:piRNA from 1 species
UGAAGAAUGAGUCUACAUACCAGUAUAUU